rnacentral:tRNA from 3 species
GGGGCCGUAGCCAAGAUGGUCAAGGCAGCGAGCUCAUAACUCGACGAUCCGUGGGUUCAAGUCCCACCGGCCCCACCA